AACAGAGAGGAAAAAGGUUUAGAUAUUUACUCCUUCCAGACUAGCUUUGGAAUUGAUAAACCUUCUAUUGGAAUUUCAAAAAGUGGAGGGCUCAAACUUAGACCCUAUCCUCUCUCUUUAAUCUCAGCCAAAUCCAUCACCACUCUUAAUUUGCUUCUAUCGCUAAUGUUGCACAAG